AGCCACGGCCCGGGCCGGCGAAGAGGGAGGGGCAGAGAGCCGCCGCGGUCCCGCUCUCCCGGGGAGAGCCUGGCUGGGAGUCAGAGCUCUCACGGUAACGGAUAGGGAAGCUGAGUUCCGAGCCUUGACCAAGGCAGCACAGCCCACCCUGAGAAGUGGGGGACUGGAAUUCAGGACGCUCGGCCCCAGGCCCGUGGUUUCCCACAGACUUGCAGGUUUCAGGGAGGCAGAGGAACUCACUCAGCCUGAAAAUUUCAGAUAUUUCAUAAGACCUAGAGCCACGUAAGAGUGCGUCCCUUUAAGACACAUGGAAGAAGUCAUGCAAGGCCACACGGUGAGCUAGAGCUGAAAUCAUACCUGUCCUGCCUCAGACCUGUCACCUCUCAUGCUGCCCAGAUAAUGAAUGCAAAAUGCUCCACCCAGUGUCUGACAGUAGUGUAAGCACUCAAUGAAUGGUAGUCAUUGUCAUUAGGAAGCUAGUUGCCUAACUUCUCAGAGCCUCAGGCUUCUUCAUCUGUAAAAUGGACGCAGUAGUACGAUACCUUAUUGUGAGGAUUAAAUGAGCUCAUGCAUGGAAGGUACUUACAGCAGUGGUGUCCAGCAAGCAUGCAACAGUCCACCAGCGCUUGGGCUCCAUGAAAGGGGGGUUCUGUUGUCUGUUUCUUGUUUGUUUGUUUUGUUUUGUUUAGACAGGGUCUUACUCUGUCGCCCAGGCUGGAGUGCAGUGGUGCGAUCAUGGCUUACUGCAGCCUUGACCUCCCCAGGCUCAAGAGAUCCUCCCAUCUCAGCCUCCCAAGUAGCUGGUACUACAGGCAAGUGCUACCAUGUCUGGCUAAUUUUUACAUUUUUUGUAGAGACAGGGCUUCACCGUGUUGAAUCCUGACCAGACUGUCAGGCUCGUCUCAAACUCCUGGUCUCAAGCCAUCCACCCGCCUCAGCUUCCCAAAGUGUUGGGAUUACAGGAGUAAGCCACCGCACCCGGCCCCUGUUGUUGUCUUUUCUUCUUUAAUUGACAAAUAAAAUCUUAUAUAUUUAUAAUAUACAA
rnacentral:lncRNA from 1 species